rnacentral:misc_RNA from 1 species
UCCCGCGGACCUGUAAGUUGUUUUCUUUACACCAGUCUAUGUUGUAGUCGGUCUGGUACCAUUGCUCAUAAAUUUGGAGUAGCUGGAUGUGAUCACCCAAGCCAAAACCAUCAGGAAGGUUCGAAGGAGUGUGCCUCCUCUUCUUCUCAGAGCUCUUACUUGGGGCGGGAAGCAAUGUGGUCUCAGCAGACAACAUGGAAACAACAGUCAAUGCUUGGGACAAGCAAUCCAACUCAUUUGCCUCUAAUAAGGUCCUCGAAAGAGAAGGUUCCAGUGGAAGCUCAGCCAUUUUUCGUCCAAGACUUGUG